rnacentral:rRNA from 2 species
CAAGUCAGAACGCACAGCGAAAGGUGCUUGCACCUUUCAAGUGAGUGGCGAACGGGUGAGUAACACGUGGACAACCUGCCUCAAGGCUGGGGAUAACAUUUGGAAACAGAUGCUAAUACCGAAUAAAACUUAGUAUCGCAUGAUACCAGGUUAAAAGGCGCUACGGCGUCACCUAGAGAUGGAUCCGCGGUGCAUUAGUUAGUUGGUGGGGUAAAGGCCUACCAAGACAAUGAUGCAUAGCCGAGUUGAGAGACUGAUCGGCCACAUUGGGACUGAGACACGGCCCAAACUCCUACGGGAGGCUGCAGUAGGGAAUCUUCCACAAUGGGCGAAAGCCUGAUGGAGCAACGCCGCGUGUGUGAUGAAGGCUUUCGGGUCGUAAAGCACUGUUGUAUGGGAAGAAAAGUUAAGGUAGGGAAUGACCUUAGCCUGACGGUACCAUACCAGAAAGGGACGGCUAAAUACGUGCCAGCAGCCGCGGUAAUACGUAUGUCCCGAGCGUUAUCCGGAUUUAUUGGGCGUAAAGCGAGCGCAGACGGUUGGUUAAGUCUGAUGUGAAAGCCCGGAGCUCAACUCCGGAAAGGCAUUGGAAACUGGUCAACUUGAGUGCAGUAGAGGUAAGUGGAACUCCAUGUGUAGCGGUGGAAUGCGUAGAUAUAUGGAAGAACACCAGCGGCGAAGGCGGCUUACUGGACUGUAACUGACGUUGAGGCUCGAAAGUGUGGGUAGCAAACAGGAUUAGAUACCCUGGUAGUCCACACCGUAAACGAUGAACACUAGGUGUUAGGAGGUUUCCGCCUCUUAGUGCCGAAGCUAACGCAUUAAGUGUUCCGCCUGGGGAGUACGACCGCAAGGUUGAAACUCAAAGGAAUUGACGGGGACCCGCACAAGCGGUGGAGCAUGUGGUUUAAUUCGAAGCAACGCGAAGAACCUUACCAGU